rnacentral:lncRNA from 1 species
GUCACGAGAGUGGAUUGAUUUGUAUUCGAAUCUAUUGUCUAGGGAUAGCUUGAUUGAGUUUGUUAACCACCUAGGUAGGCUAAGGAGACUGCCAUAAUCGAUUACCCCAUUCCUCAGGACCCUUCAUCUCUAUUGAUAGUUUAAAUCUUGUUUCUGUUAGUCUCUGUUGCUUAGCUCGACCUGCUAGGCCUAGAUCGUUUCUCUGCAUUGUUAGGUUGCUAGUUUCUUUUCCAAAGCUUAUGCAUGAUAGUUUCUGGUCUUUAGCUUACUUCUUGUUCUUGUUUACUUGCUGUUUAGUUCUCUUUUGCAAGCUUUUAAAUUCAGUAUUUGCAUGUUAAUUUGGUUGCUUAGGAUCAAUAGAAACACACAAAACCCUUUCAUAAUUGGCUUGACUUAUCUGCUUUCUGUUUCAUAUCUUGAAUGAUUGCAGUCACACUAAGAUUGGAUUGAUAACCUAAUAUACUACAAUGGCAUGUGUAUUAGGGAUUGAUACAUGUUAGA